GGGGAUGUGGUCUAGCUUGGUCUAUGACUCAGCCUUGGGGUGGCUGCAACUCGGGUUCAAAUCCCGACAUCCCCA
rnacentral:tRNA from 1 species